rnacentral:lncRNA from 1 species
AUGAUGCAAGGAACUAAUGGCCAAGCUGCUGCUUCUGCUUCUUCUCCUAAAGGCAACUACUCUAUCUCAUCUUCUACUAGGCCAACUAUAGCAGAAAUUUAUGGUGGUAUUACACCAAAAGUACUUUUCAAUAAAGCUACUGCAAACAACAGCACUACUAAUAGUGAUCAAACUCAUCAAAGGCUUAAACAGCUGCAGGCAGAAGAAUCGCUUCGCACUGUCAUGUACUUGAGCUGCUGGGGUCCUAACACAUGA